rnacentral:misc_RNA from 1 species
UACAGAGGGUGCAAGCGUUAAUCGGAAUUACCGGGCGUAAAGCGCGCGUAGGUGGUUUGUUAAGUUGGAUGUGAAAGCCCCGGGCUCAACCUGGGAACUGCAUCCAAAACUGGCAAGCUAGAGUUUUGAAGAGGGUGGUAGAAUUUCCAGUGUAGCGGUGAAAUGCGUAGAUAUUGGAAGGAAUACCAGUGGCGAAGGCGGCCUUCUGGUCUGACACUGACGCUGAGGUGCGAAAGCGUGGGUAGCAAACAGG